rnacentral:rRNA from 1 species
UGGGGAAUAUUGCACAAUGGGCGCAAGCCUGAUGCAGCGACGCCGCGUGAGGGAUGGAGGCCUUCGGGUUGUAAACCUCUUUCGCCAGUGAAGCAGGCCAUCUUCUUUGUGGGGUGGUUGACGGUAGCUGGAUAAGAAGCGCCGGCUAACUACGUGCCAGCAGCCGCGGUAAUAAGUAGGGCGCGAGCGUUGUCCGGAAUUAUUGGGCGUAAAGAGCGCGUAGGCGGCUGGUCGCGUCUGUCGUGAAAUCCCCUGGCUUAACUGGGGGCUUGCGGUGGGUACGGGCCGGCUUGAGUGCGGUAGGGGAGACUGGAAUUCCUGGUGUAGCGGUGGAAUGCGCAGAUAUCAGGAGGAACACCGGUGGCGAAGGCGGGUCUCUGGGCCGUUACUGACGCUGAGGAGCGAAAGCGUGGGGAGCGAACAGG